rnacentral:rRNA from 1 species
UCCAGACUCCUACGGGAGGCAGCAGUGGGGGAUAUUGCACAAUGGGGGGAACCCUGAUGCAGCGACGCCGCGUGGGUGAAGGAGCGUUUCGGCGCGUAAAGCCCUAUCGGCAGGGAAGAAGGAGGACGGUACCUGACUAAGAAGCCCCGGCUAACUACGUGCCAGCAGCCGCGGUAAUACGUAGGGGGCAAGCGUUAUCCGGAUUUACUGGGUGUAAAGGGGGCGCAGACGGCAGCGCAAGCCAGGAGUGAAAGCCCGGGGCCCAACCCCGGGACUGCUCUUGGAACUGCGCGGCUGGAGUGCAGGAGGGGCAGGCGGAAUUCCUGGUGUAGCGGUGAAAUGCGUAGAUAUCAGGAGGAACACCGGUGGCGAAGGCGGCCUGCUGGACUGCGACUGACGUUGAGGCCCGAAAGCGUGGGGAGCAAACAGGAUUAGAUACCCGCGUAGU